CUUGACUCCUCGGUUCCUCCAGUUUAAAGAUCUGAAGCUGAAAAGUUCUCAGUAAUUCUGAGUUUUUUUCUCCACUUCCUCAAACCAACAUUGUUCAGUAACGUUGUUCUUAUUCAGCAGGAGAGUCUCUGAGAUGACGCUCGGCUCAAACAGCGUAUCCCCCGGUGAUCUACUCAAUCUCUGUCCUCCCAUUGGCUGUAUCAGGUGUCAAUCAUAGCAAACAUGAACCCCCUAAUAACUUUUAAAAAUGGAGCUGUACAGAAAAAAGAGGACUUGAGCACAAACCAGUCUGACAGUAACUACAUGUCAACAUCACAACCAGGGGGGAGAAACAUUUAUAUUCUGUCUCAUUCAUUUAUAAAGUUUGUCCACAGCUCCAUAAGGAGGCGGGGUUUAGGACCUAAACUCCGCCUCACCUGUCCAGGUUGAUAUGAACUCUGUAAGUAUCAGGACAGGUGAGUGGGAGGAGCUGAUGAAGCUUCUUCGUCUGAUCACAGGAACCGACCAAAGAAAUAUAAAUGAUAGAAGAAUGAAGGUCGACCUCCCUCUGAGAGAUUAUCGAUUUGAUCAGAUUAUUGAUUUGAUCAGAUUAUUGAUUUGAUCAGAUUAUUGAUUUGAUCAGAUUAUCGAUUUGAUCAGAUUAUCGAUUUGAUCAGAUUAUCAGACAAACAUAUUUGUAGAAUUUUGUUAUUCAGGGUCGAUGUUUCACACGUGAUGGAAAACUUCCUCCAUGAAACCGAGGUCUGGAGUUCAUCAGAUCAGUCCGGUCAGACUUUAUUUAGAACCAGAACCAGAACCCUGGUCCAGAGCUGCAGAGGUGGUUCUGGUUCUUUUCUUUAACUUCACAGGAACACAGAGAAACUGGAGCAGAUGAACCGAUCAUGAUGUUCAGGAGUCAGUGGAGAGCUCGCUGUCAGGAUCAGAGUUUUUAUGUUUUUGGUUUUUAAGUUAGAAAAACUUUCAAAAUUAAACUUUGAUCUGUUUAUAGUGCAGUGAUCAGACAGCAGGGGGCGCCACAGCCUUUAUUAUCACACCACUGCAUGUCCUCCAUCCUGUCUUCACCUGAAAUCACCUGACCUUCAAAAUAAAACACCUUUUAACCUUCAAAAUAAAACACCUGAUAACCUUCAAAAUAAAACACACUGAACACACUUUUAGGAGCUCUUUUUGUCAUUUUUUCCUGUUUCCUGUUUUAUUUUGAAACUCAGAUUUGUCUCUCUGACUUCCUGUUUCUUUGAUCACUCUCACCUGUCUCAGACUUCCUGUCCUCCUCAGACAGGUGGUUUUGGACCCUGAUGUUGGUCUUGCUGUCCCCUUUUCCCUCAGUCUGGACCAGUCCAGUCUGGUCUGGUUCUGACCCAUGUUUCUGGUUCUGACCCAUGUUUCUGGUUCUGACCCGUGUCUCUGGUUCUGACCCGUUUGAAGAUGAA